rnacentral:lncRNA from 1 species
GCACGCGUUUCGCUUGGUUUGGCCGCAGCGCCGAUCUUCAUCUCGCCUCUCUUUAUUGCGGCGCCCUUGGUUGCUUAGCAACUGCUGAAGGCCCCCCCCCUGCGUUUUGACUACGCUGAGUCGCUUCCUCAGAGAGCCCAGGCAGGCUGGCAGCGGCGCUGGGAUGCCGCCGUGGAAUGCCAUGCACGCUCCGCCGCGGUGCUCCCAUUUCCGGCAACCCCACAGAAACGAAGGGUCCAGCUGCGUGGCGGCCCCUAACCCUNGUCCGCCUUUGCCCAACGGAGAGCGGCGCAACAGCCGCCAUGAGCAGGAGUCGACAGCAGCAGAGCACCCGACUGGAGCCGCGGGGUCGGGAUUUACGGGCACAUAAUAGUAAGCUUCCAGAAAUCUCUUGCACUCAAGAAUGCAGACCUGUUGUUGCUCAGCCACCAAAAGAACAAAAAUUGCCAAUCCUCACAUCUGGUCACAAAUAUCUGGAUAACAAAGUAUCAGUAAAAUCAUUUGGGAGUCACAUUUUUGAGAACAGUUGGAAGAAUGCAGUGAUAAAAACAAAAAGGAUAAAACAAGAAUAUACAUCUGCAUAUGGCUUGAAUGACUCCAGUGAAAAUCUGGCAAUGCCAAGUCUUGCUCAGGAGGAAUAUCCUGCAAUACCAAACCCUUCUCCUGUUACACAGAAGACACAAGGUGCUGCUAAUUCAUUUCCAGACAGCUCUUACAACAACGACGGCAACUGUUUUCCAUCUUCGUACUUGCAUUCAUGUAUUUCAUCACAGUGUAUUAUUGAAAGCUUACAUAAAAACAGAGAUGCAGCCAUGGGGGAUGUAAACAAAAGAGGGGCNUAUUCCUGGAAGCCAGGUCUCCUGAAGUCACCUGGGAUACACAGUGGAGCUGGAGAAUUUGGUGCCAUAAGGCUAAAAAAGUUCAACCGGUGUUCCAGCCUCAUUUCAUUUCCUCCAGGAUGCAAAUUCCAGUCUGGUUAUCGUUUUAUAGACCCUGUGAAUGGAGCACCUCCUCAGUACCUCCAGAGGCUUUCUGAACUAGCUGCCUUGGAAUGUGAAACUGUUCAUCAAGAGAGAACCAGAAAAAUUAGGAGGACCAAACAACAGGAGACGUAG